GUUAUGAUGCUAACUAAUGGGUGGUGGAUUUCUUUCUUUAAAAUAGUCUUAGAAGUAGUUGUGCUCUUUCUUUGAAAUAGUCUUAGAAGUAGUUGUGCGGAAAUAAAGGAGAUAAUGGGGAUGCCCACGUUUCCAUUUACGGUUAUUAGGCCACGUUUCAUUUGCAGUUAUUUUAUUAGAAGUAGUUUACAUUUUUCCUUUAAAUUGUAAUGUUUGCUCUCAGAAAGGAUAUGAGAAAAUUGCCCCAAUCUCUCUUGUUACUUCUUCUUCAUCUCUUUUCUAAAUUUCUUUGGCCAGAGGGUCAGCCGUAGAUCACCUAACAGUGGUAUCAAAGCCAGGUUGAUCCAAUGGAAACACGCAAGCAGUCUCUCGAACAAUUCCAGCAGCACACUAAUGAAACUCUCGAAAAGCUCACUGCCAUGUUCCACAAGUUAGUGACAGACGUUCGGGAGAUUAAGGAGAAGGAUUCUGACAAACCUUCUGGCUCUGGCAAGGGAUCCACAAUCGGUAAUAUAGGGAAACCCUACCUGAAACUCCAUUUUCCUCGGUUUAGUGGUGAUGAUCCUACGGGGUGGAUAUUUCAGGCUGAACAAUACUUUGAAUUUCAGAACGUCGUUGAUACAGAUCGGGUCAAUCUUGCCUCUUUUCAUCUUGACGGUAUUGCCUUACAGUGGCACCGGUGGUUUGCCAAAUCACGAGGUCCGAUGACAUGGAGGGAAUUUACCGCGGCUUUGCUGAGUCGUUUUGGGCCGACUGAUUAUGAUGACCCUUCAGAAUCCCUUCAUCGACUCAAACAGAUCACCACAGUUGCAGUUUAUAUUGAAGCUUUUGAACGAUUGUCACACCGUAUUGAUAACCUAACGGAGUCUUUCUUACUUGGCUGUUUUGUAGGUGGGCUGAAGGAAGAUAUACGGUUGGAGGUGAAACUCAAGAAGCCACGCACCAUGACAGAUGCAAUGGGGUUGUCCAGGUUGGUUGAGGAGAAAUUGAACUUGCAACGGCGGGUUACUCCGUCUCCUCGGGUUACCAGUUUUAAUUCCCUACCUAAAGGCCCACACUCUGCUGGAAUUUUAGGCCCAGCACCAUCUCAACGCCUAGCUUUACCUGCCCCAAGUCCAGUUCGCCGUUUAUCAGGAGCAGAGGCUAAAGAACGUCGGGAAAAGGGGUUGUGUUACUACUGUGAUGAACGCUACAUUCCGGGUCAUAAGUGCACCAAGCCCCAAUUAUUCAUGAUCAGUGAAGUCGAUGACGUUGAAGAGAGCAGCAGCCAUGAGGAUGAAGCCAAUGAGAACCCUCCUGAUGAGGUUUCCGCUGAGAUUUCUUUCCACGCAAUUACCGGCACCAUCCUUCCCCAAACCUUAAGGUUGCCUGGAAAAAUUCAUAACAAAGAUUUGGUGGUCUUAAUUGAUGGUGGUAGUACCCACAAUUUCAUCGAGCAAUCGUUAGUGGAGCGGUUCGGAUUGACGGUGGAUAAUGGGGUCAAAUUGGAAGUGGUCGUCGCAAACCGUGACAAGUUAGCUUGUGUGGGACGAGUGCGAGGACUUACAAUCAUUAUUCAAGGUUACACUAUAACCACCGAUUUUUUUGUUCUGCCAAUCGCAGCUUGUCCUAUUGUCUUAGGCGUUCAGUGGUUGAAGACUUUGGGGCCUAUUGAAAUCGACUUCCAGAAUCUCACUCUUGGAUUCCAUCAGGCUGGUUCAACACAUAAGUUACAAGGGUUGCGGGGGUCGGAUUUGACUGCUUUAAAGGCUAACGAGUUGAUGGGAAUACAGGGUAUUGCCUUACUUCUCCAGGUUAAUCGGGUCGAAUCGGAGCUUUCUUCUACCUCAAGUCCUUGUCCAGCCGUUCAACAUGUUUUAACUGAAUAUGAGCAGGUCUUUCAAGAGCCAAAAGAAUUGCCCCCAAGGCGUUUCCAUGACCAUGACAUACCCUUAAUUCCCGGAGCCAAACCAGUGAGCUCUCGGCCAUAUCGCCAACCUUAUUUGCAAAAGACGGAAAUUGAAAAACAAGUUAGGGGGUUACUGCGUGAUGGGUUAAUUCGCCCCAGCCAUAGCCCGUUCUCAUCGCCGGUCUUGUUAGUGAAGAAAUCUGACAGCACUUGGCGUUUUUGCGUGGACUAUAGGGCUCUCAAUGACAUCACUGUGAAGGACAAGUACCCAAUUCCAGUAAUAGACGAGCUACUCGAUGAACUAUAUGGUGCUACGAUCUUUUCUAAGCUUGACCUUCGUGCUGGUUAUCACCAAAUACGGGUUCGGGAAACUGAUAUUCCAAAGACAGCAUUCCGAACGCAUGACGGACAUUAUGAGUUCGUUGUUAUGCCUUUUGGCCUCACCAAUGCUCCAGCCACCUUUCAAUGCUUAAUGAAUGACAUUUUCAGGCCAUACCUGCGUAAGUUUAUAUUGGUAUUCUUUGAUGAUAUUCUUAUUUAUUCAAAGACCUUGAAUGAUCAUCUUGGGCAUUUACGUACUGCUUUGGGAUUAUUAAAUACUAAUCAACUUUUUGCCAAGCUCUCAAAAUGUUGUUUUGGAGUUUCUCAAGUUAAUUAUUUGGGGCAUGUCAUAUCAUCGGGAGGUGUGGCGGUUGAAGAAAAUAAAGUUAAGGCUGUACUUUCAUGGCCUACUCCAACUAACGCAAAAGGGGUACGCGGUUUCUUGGGGUUGGCGGGUUAUUAUCGAAAGUUUAUCAAGGGAUUUGGAAGUAUUGCUGCCCCCUUGCAUAAACUAGUUGGCAAAGGCCCUUUUAUUUGGAAUGAAAAGGCAGAAGUGGCUUUCCAGGAGUUGAAGAUUGCCCUGACAACCCCUCCUACUUUGGCUUUGCCCGAUUGGUCUCACCCAUUUACUGUGGAGUGUGAUGCGAGUGGGGUGGGUAUAGGAGCUAUUCUCACUCAACGUGGAAGACCCUUGGCUUAUUUCAGUGCUCCUUUAAAGGGAAUCAUGUUAUCUUGGUCUACAUAUGAGAAGGAGAUAUUAGCUAUUGUAAAGGCGGUUCGGAAAUGGCGACACUAUUUACUGGGGCGACCUUUUGUGGUGAAAACAGACCAUGUCAGUCUCAAGUAUUUAAUGGAGCAACGAAUCACUACCCCAGUUCAGUCCAGAUGGCUACCCAAGCUUUUGGGAUUUGACUACAAAAUUGAAUAUAAGAAGGGAAGUUUGAACCAAGGCGCAGAUGCCCUCUCUCGUACGCCCGAGUUUCAUUAUCUAAAUGUUUCACAUCCUUGUUCCACCAUUUGGACCACCAUUCAAGAAGAGGUACACACAGACCCUUUUUAUUUGAAUUUACCUUCAUCCUUGCCUAUUAAAUUUAAAGGUAACCUUGUGAAGCAUGAUGGAGUUUGGUUUAGAAAUGAUGCUAUAUUGUUAAGCUCCAAUUCUCCUCUUCUAUCCACUGUGCUGGUUAUGUGUCACUCCUCUCCCGAAGGAGGCCAUUUUGGUUUUCAUAAAACUCUUGCUAAGGUGAAGCACAAUUUUUGGUGGUUGGGUAUGAAAGAUUUUGUGAAAAGAUAUAUCCGGGAAUGUCAUGAGUGUCAACGAGCCAAGACGGACACCAUGCAGCCUGCUGGGUUGUUGCAGCCACUUCCGGUUCCAGACAGAAUUUGGGAGGACAUUAGCAUGGAUUUCGUGGAAGGAUUACCUGCGUCUAACGGGUUUACAGUGAUAAUGGUGAUUGUAGAUCGACUCUCAAAAUAUGCCCACUUUGUUCCUAUGCGGCACCCAUUUACUGCUUCAAGUGUAGCUCGGGAUUUUGUAGCCAACGUUGUCCGCUUGCAUGGUAUCCCUUCAACCAUUGUAAGUGAUCGUGAUAAAAUUUUCAUAAGUUCCUUUUGGCAAGCUCUAUUCAAGCUGCAAGGGUCGGUUUUAUGCAUGAGUUCUAGCUAUCAUCCGCAGACGGAUGGACAAACAGAAGUUGUCAAUCGGAUUCUGGAACAAUACUUGCGUUGUUUUGUUUGUGACAAGCCAAAAAAAUGGGUGGAUUGGCUACCGUGGGCGGAAUAUAGCUAUAAUACUUCAGUUCACACUUCCACCAAGCUGAUUCCUUUUCAGGUUGUUUAUGGACGGCUGCCUCCAAAAAUCUUGCCGUAUGUUCCAGGAACGACUAAGGUUCAAGCUGUCGAAGACUACCUUCAAGACCGUGAUCGGAUGCUGAAAACCUUACGAGCCAACCUCUUCAAAGCUCAAGACCGUAUGAAGCAUUUUGCGGACCAACGCCGUCGUGAAUUGGAAUUUGAGGUAGGGGAUCAUGUUUAUGUUAAACUACAGCCAUAUAGACAGUCAAGUGUGGUCUCCCGAACAUCAGCUAAGUUAAGUCCGCGUUUUUUUGGCCCUUACAAAAUUCUUGCUAAGGUAGGAAAGGUUGCAUAUCGGAUUGAAUUACCUCCUGGUUCCUUAAUUCACGAUGUGUUUCAUGUGAGUUUGUUACGGAAAAGAGAAGGCCCUGUCCCGGAACCGAUCCCACCUCCUGUCAACGAACCUGUCCAGUUACAGGUGGCACCUCAACCAGAGGGUAUCUUGGAAGAACGAGUCGUGCAGAAAGGGAAAUAUCGGCCAAAAACAGAGAUUUUGGUUAAAUGGGUUGGUCAAUCAAGGGAAGAUGCAACAUGGGAAGAUAAAUGGCGUUUUUCCCGUACUUACCCUCAGUUUCACCUUGAGGACAAGGUGAUUUCAAGUGGGGUGGAUUGUUAUGAUGCUAACUAAUGGGUGGUGGAUUUCUUUCUUUAAAAUAGUCUUAGAAGUAGUUGUGCUCUUUCUUUGAAAUAGUCUUAGAAGUAGUUGUGCGGAAAUAAAGGAGAUAAUGGGGAUGCCCACGUUUCCAUUUACGGUUAUUAGGCCACGUUUCAUUUGCAGUUAUUUUAUUAGAAGUAGUUUACAUUUUUCCUUUAAAUUGUAAUGUUUGCUCUCAGAAAGGAUAUGAGAAAAUUGCCCCAAUCUCUCUUGUUACUUCUUCUUCAUCUCUUUUCUAAAUUUCUUUGGCCAGAGGGUCAGCCGUAGAUCACCUAACAUAUCCUUAUAUUGGUAAAUGGUGAACCUAUUUUCUGUUACAAGCUACUGGACAUACUCCCUUUACAUGUCACUCUCUUACAUUAAUUAUAAUUUGGCAAUAGUUCGGCCAUUUUACAAUACGUUUCAAUGCACACUUGUUAAGAGUAUCCCGCUUCCAAAAAUCAACUUAGGAACCUAUAGCUAAAGCGUAGUAGCAGAAUACAUGUUUUCAACAUUUAACCAUUUGAUAUUCUCCAUUCGGGAUUCCUUAGCAAAUUCAUCAGACACAUUUCAUCUAGCUUCGCCGAUUCAUAUAUGUUAAGUGUUAAGGCGUCUUUUGCAAACAUAAUUUAGUUAUUCAAAUUCCAUAAGAGAAGUGCUAUUAAUUGCAUUUUUU
rnacentral:lncRNA from 1 species